rnacentral:rRNA from 1 species
GCAGUUGGACGACGGUUUUCUGAAGUAGCGAUACGGAAGAGGAUACGGAGUAGCGGACGGGUGAGUAUAACAUGAGAAGCUAUCCCAUAAAGGGGGACAACGUUUGGAAACGGACGCUAAUACCCCAUAGGCCGAGAGGUUAAAGCGGAAACGCGAUAUGGGAGGCGCUCGUGCCCUAUCAGCUAGUUGGUGAGGCAAUGGCUUACCAAGGCGAUGACGGGUAGCCGGCCUGAGAGGGCGACCGGCCACACUGGAACUGAGAUACGGUCCAGACUCCUACGGGAGGCAGCAGUGGGGAAUAUUGGGCAAUGGGAGAAAUCCUGACCCAGCAACGCCGCGUGAACGAAGAAGGCCUUUGGGUCGUAAAGUUCUUUUGCGUGGGAAGAAGGAAGUGACGGUACCGCGCGAAUAAGCCCCGGCUAACUACGUGCCAGCAGCCGCGGUAAUACGUAGGGGGCGAGCGUUGUCCGGAAUUACUGGGCGUAAAGGGCACGCAGGCUGUGCCGUGAGUCGGCUGUAAAAAGAUGCGGCUUAACCGUGUUGAGCAGUCGAAACUGCGGUACUGGAGUACCGAAGAGGCAAGCGGAAUUCCCAGUGUAGCGGUGAAAUGCGUAGAUAUUGGGAAGAACACCGGUGGCGAAGGCGACUUGCUGGUCGGUAACUGACGCUCAUGUGCGAAAGCCAGGGGAGCAAACGGGAUUAGAUACCCCGGUAGUCCUGGCGGUAAACGAUGAAUGCUGGGUGUGCGGGUAGAGAUACCGGCGUGCCGUAGUUAACGCGAUAAGCAUUCCGCCUGGGGAGUACGGUCGCAAGAUUGAAACUCAAAGGAAUUGACG